rnacentral:rRNA from 1 species
GACGAACGCUGGCGGCGUGCUUAACACAUGCAAGUCGAACGGAAAGGCCUGCUUUCCCUUGUGGAUUGCGGGUACUCGAGUGGCGAACGGGUGAGUAACACGUGAGUGAUCUGCCCCCAACUUGGGUAUAAGCCUGGGAAACUGGGUCUAAUUCCCGAUAGGACUGCAGGGUGGUGCCUGUGGUGGAAAACGAUUUUCUAGUGGUUGGGGAUGAGCUCGCGGCCUAUCAGCUUGUUGGUGGGGUAAUGGACUACCAAGGCGGCGACGGGGAGCCGGCCUGAGAUGGUGGACGGCCACAUUGGGACUGGGACACGGCCCAGACGCCUACGGGAAGCAGCAGUGGGGAAUAUAUGACAAUGAGCGGAAGCCUGAUGCAGCGACGCCGCGUGGGGGAUGACGGCCUUCGGGUUGUAAACUCCUUUCGACCGCGAGGAAGCCACCUGGUUGGAAGGGUGGUGACGGUAGUGGUAGAAGAAGCACCGGCUAACUACGUG